rnacentral:lncRNA from 1 species
AAAAUAAGGAACUCUCCAGACUAUGAAACCAUGAAUAAAUACAACCUUACAGUGACUGCAAUCAACAAUAAAUCGGCCCCUUUCUACCAGGCAGCCACCCAUGUCAGUGUUGCAGUGAUUGAUGUGAAUGAUAAUGCCCCGGUGUUUGUCCAGAGCUCCUAUUCUGCUUCCAUAAACAUGGUGAAUCCCGUGGGUGCUCCUGUCCUCACCGUGAGCGCCACUGACCGUGACCAGGGGCAAAAUGGCCUCAUUGAGUAUUACAUCCUCCCGGAUCCCACCGUGAGCCCGUUCUUCCUGAUAGAGGAUUUGAGUGAGGGGAAGAUAAUUACAACUGGAA